ensembl:snRNA U6 U6 spliceosomal RNA
GUGUUUGCUUUGGCAGCACACAUACUAAAACUGGAACGAUACAGAAGAUUAGUAUGGCCUCUGCCCAAGGAUGACACACAAAUUCGUGAAGUGCUCCAUGUUAAA